GGUGGUGGUGGCGGCGCCGCCUCUGCGCGCGCGCGGUCCCCCCACCGCCGCGCCGGGAGGGACGGGCGGGCCCAGCGGCAGCCGCAGGGAACGCGGUGCCCCCCGCGUCUCCGCCUCACGGCGCCGCUCCUCGGGGAGCGGCUCUGCCGGAACUUCGGCUCCCGGCACCGGACCCGCCGAAGGCCGAGUGACGCGGGAAGCCCCCGCUCGGCCACGCUAGCGUUAAAAAUAAUAAUAAAAAAAACGAAUCCACAUCAUUCAGCUGGGAGUCUUCCAGCGCGGCAGGCAUGUGAUCAGUGGGGGCGGGGGAAGCGGGCGACUCGCCCACACCGAAACUGGCGUUGGCCGCGGUACACCUGCCCAGCGGCCAUUGAGCUCCGGCUGGUAGCGGUCACCUGGCGGAGACGGCCUGCCCCGCGGCACGGCCGCACCUAGCAGCGCUCCGAGCUUCUUCCCAAAAAAUCCUCGGGGAAGGGGGGGCUGCUUUAUUCCAGCCGGGCAGGGGAACGCCAGUUGGACCCAAGCGCAGCAGGCAGAGCGCUGGGAUACAUAAGCAUCCCCUUCCGCAGGCCUAACAUGAGUGGCACGUUAUGAGAUAAGCAACAUAAGCAGAGCGCUGCUGUUCCAUUGCUAGACAGACACGCGUACACCUGUGGCAGCAAACCAAAGAAUCCUGUGCCGUACAUCACAGCAAUCCUCCUUACCACCUGCUCUGCCUCCCACUUCCCUGUUGCCCACUUCCUGGGCUAUGCAUCCUUUACCCAGACCUAAAGGAACACCAGAGGCUGCACGGGGAGCAGGAGGCUGCUCCCAAACCCCUACAAAGACAUAUGCCCAAGCUUAACUGCAUACUUACUUACAUGCAUCUUUGCAGAGGCGGGUUUUAACCGAAGAUGCUGUACAACGGCUGACAGAUGGAGUAGCAGAGUACAAGCUACAGUCAUUGAGGGCUGUAGAAUCAAAUAUGAAAGCAAAGUGGUGGCUGAAGUCGUUUUGACAGAUGUCCUUCAAGAGAGCAAGUAAGUCAUGAACCAUGGGGAUAUGAACAAGUGAAAGAUGGUUGACUCAUAGAUCAGUCUGAAUUUCAAAUAUGGCACACUUCUUUUGAUAUUCUCUGUAUUAGCAGGCCUUUAAUAUGUCGUCUUCUUUAAAAGAUUCAAAAGAUGCAUGAGCUUGGUGAAAAAAAUGCAUGAAAGCCUUUGUUCCACUGUAUUUGAAGUGUAUCAGAAGUAAUUCUGAGCUCUCUUACAUGACAGCAAAAUGCCCUCAUUCUACGUAUGGAAAGUCAUGCUCAAGAAAUUUGACACAAAGGCCCCAGCUGAGAAACAGUUGAUAGAUUGAUGACUUUUUAGAUUGAAAAAACACUUCCUGAUGAGUCUCUAUGCCAGUUUGUAUGUAUCAUCACACAGAUGUGAAUAGAUGGUUUAUGAUGGGCAUGAAGCCAAAGUAAAGGGAUCUGGGAAGUGUUGUGUCCUGCCAAAUGAACAUUUGCUGUAGCUAAAAUAUGUUGCAAUGUGUCUUUUCCUUUGAUUAAUAUUUUUAAUUGAUUUGGAGGGGAAUGACUCAUAACACAGGGAGAAGGGUUCUUCCUAUCAUCACCUAUCUGGUGAGAUAAAGAUGAAUAGUAAAUUAUCUUAAGAGUGGCAGAUCUCAGAAGAGGUGAGGAGGCUGACAGUAUUCAAUGAUAUAUCUCAAUGGAAAACACUAUAGCAUAACCUUGAUUUUAAUACUGCAAAUUUAUAUGUAGGCAGACCUUUGGGAUGUUUUCAUUGUUAAGAGAGGAGAUUCUUCUUCUUCUUUUAUGAAUUAAUCACAAGGAGUUGUAGAUGUUUCCAGAGUUGGACACACCAAGAAAGGCAGUAGAAGGUAUGAUGGCAAUGGAAGAGCAUUCUAAAGGCUGAAGCUGAUGGGACUCUUGUAACUGGUAUGAAUAUGAUCAAUGCUGAUUAAUUAUGCUCUGAGCUGAAUUGGCAUUGUGCCAGUUCAGAGAUAGGCAUAAAACACAUGAAAGUAUAAAACAUUUACAGGAUGUUUGGCUUUGAAGAAGGAACUAUAUUGGAACCAGAAAUAUGAGGAUUCUUGGAUUCCUCUCAUAUUAUCAAGAAAGAUAAAGUGUAUUAGGUUUUUACUCAAGAGUAGUGCUCCUUUCUGACACAGAAAUAACUGACUUAUGGAAACACUGCUGACCAGGUAACCCCUAUGAGGAAGCACUGGCAUCUAACGGCCUGACAGUUAUAUGUCUGGUAAGUAACUGAUUAAGUGUAAUCAAUGAGAAUAAGCCGCAUUUUGACAUGUUACCCUGAAUCAAAAUCAGACUCUUUUCACAUACCAUACAGGUAUUAAGCUUUUAAGCGUUAAAGAAAGUUUUAUAGUUUUUCAUGUGUUCAAUCCUGCUUGAAAGGUUAACGUGUAAUGGAUAUUCAGUUGAUUAUUGUAAGCAUUUGGUUAUUUGUAAUAUAAUAUUCAGUAUUUUUUUUAUCCAUAUGCAUCCAGGCUUUAUUUAGAAAAGUAUAGAGUGCCUAGAAUAAAUCUUAAAAUAAAUAUUAUUAGAAUAUUAUAGUAAUUACAAGAAUAAAUAAUUAUUUGAAUAAAUCAUAUUAUUGUCAGGAGAGUGGCUGCGUGUGUGCUUGCAGAGAUGUGAGGCAGAUCAGUAUGGUACACAAAACAUGAGAAACAAGCUCAGAAUCAGAAGGUAAUGGAAAAAUCCUUUUAACAUGACCAUAUUAUAACGUUGCUCUAAGAAUGCUACAGAAGGAAAGAAGGUCAUAAAAGUCCACAGUGUAAUGCUAAACUUCAUUAGCCUGCCAAAAGAACUUUAAAAAAUAACCAACCAAAACAAAACCCCCUCAAAAAACCCAACAACUGUAUAGUCUAUUGGGAACACUGUAAAUCUAGUGUUUACCUUGGGGUUUUUAAAUAGAAUACUUGAGUUCUAUUUUCAGUUCUACAGUCUGAUUUUGGGCAAGUUGCUUCUAACUAUAUUUUUGGAGUGUUUUUUGACAAUGUAUUUAUAAGGGAACUGAGAUCAGCCUUCUCCAUCAAAGGCUUUGAGAGUUUGGGAUUGCAUUUAAACCUCUACAUAAUUUCUACAUGUAUUUGAUAAGUCCUUAUUUUUCUCCCCAUUUCUAUGUCCAUUUUUUGCAAAUAAUUUUGGAAUCCUCACAUAAAAAUGGAAACCUGACUGUAUGACUGCGCUUCUAUUACUGAACAUGGGUGAAAAGUUACGGUUGUCCAUAUAUACUUAUUGACUUCCCAAGGUUUUGCAUGACUGUUUGCUAAAUAGGCAGUUGGCCUUAUAUCCUAAGCAGUAAUGGAUGUAUACUUGUACAUCAUUUUGUCUUAUCUGUGGUCACCUUUAUCUUUUCACAGAAAUUAUCUGUGCAAGAUAAACUGUGAGGACCCCUUCAUGUUUCAACAAUAAAUUGCAUGCAGUUUGGAAAAAAAUAAAUUAUCUUGACAUUCCUCCUACUAAAUACAAAUAAUAUCAGUAGUAGUAAUGAGAAGAAUGUGGACUAAAACAAUAUUUCUUUAACUAUUCAAAUAUUCCACAGGUUUCUAUUUGAAAAUAAAGAAAAGUAUUGUAGA